AGUGAACGCUGGCGGUAGGCCUAACACAUGCAAGUCGAACGGCAGCACAGUAAGAGCUUGCUCUUACGGGUGGCGAGUGGCGGACGGGUGAGGAAUACAUCGGAAUCUACUUUUUCGUGGGGGAUAACGUAGGGAAACUUACGCUAAUACCGCAUACGACCUACGGGUGAAAGCAGGGGAUCUUCGGACCUUGCGCGAUUGAAUGAGCCGAUGUCGGAUUAGCUAGUUGGCGGGGUAAAGGCCCACCAAGGCGACGAUCCGUAGCUGGUCUGAGAGGAUGAUCAGCCACACUGGAACUGAGAAACGGUCCAGACUCCUACGGGAGGCAGCAGUGGGGAAUAUUGGACAAUGGGCGCAAGCCUGAUACAGCCAUACCGCGUGGGUGAAGAAGGCCUUCGGGUUGUAAAGCCCUUUUGUUGGGAAAGAAAAGCAGCAGGUUAAUACCCCGCUGUUCUGACGGUACCCAAAGAAUAAGCACCGGCUAACUUCGUG
rnacentral:rRNA from 1 species